GAUGAACGCUGGCGGCGUGCUUAACACAUGCAAGUCGAACGGGAUCCAAGGGGUGCUUGCACUCUUUGGUGAGAGUGGCGAACGGGUGAGUAACACGUGAGUAACCUGUCCUUUUCUUUGGGAUAAGCAUUCGAAAGGGUGUUUAAUACCUUAUGUUCUGUCUGCCUCGCAUGGGGUGGGUGGGAAAGGCUUUGGCCGGAUUUGGGUGGGAUCGCGGUCUAUCAGCUUGUUGGGGUGGUGAUGGCUUACCUAGGCUUUGGCGGGUAGACGGCCAGAGAGGGUGCUCGGACAGAGUGGGGGUGCGGUACCGUACGGGCGGCAGCAGUAGGGAGCAGUGGGGAAUGUUGGACAGUGGGAGAGAGCCUGGUGGAGCGACGCAGGAUGGGGGAUGGAGGGUUUAGGGUUGUAAACUUCGUUUGAUCUGAGCAAGGCAUGCCAGUGAGUGUGUUGAGUGAAGGGGUUAAUUAGCCCCGGCUAACUACGUG
rnacentral:rRNA from 1 species